CUUUAGACCAAUUUGGAAUGGCGGUGCUUCAUGAAUAACCCAUGAGUAUUAACCAGCUGCAUGCACAGAGAAAUUGAGAGGGGAAGGGGAGGGGGGAGAGAGAAGGAGAGACACCUGCAGCCCUGCUCUACCACUCAUGAAGCUUUCUCCCUGCAGUAGCACCAGGCAACAAUGGACCUUUGUUCUGUUCCAAAAUGAAGAAUGAAUUAAGCAAGGGAAAGAAGAGCAAGGAGCAAGUCCAGGUUCUUACGUAUUCUUUCAUGUUUCCAUACGGGGACGUUGGAUCAGACUAUGUGAGUCAAACAAAGGGAUCAAACAAGGGUAAGAGGGAAAGGAGUAGAGGGUUUGGCUCACUCUUAGUGGGAUAAACCACCUCUGUGACUGAGAGCUGGAGAGCCCCUGGGAAGUUAAGGGUCAGCACCACAUGAGGUGGCCUCAGCCUAGGUUCUCAAAAAAAAUUUUUUUUUAAACUUUACCAUAAACUGGCAACCUCAGAUUGUAUUAGGUUAGAUUUCUUGUUCAAGUGUAAGUGAAGAUUUAUUUAUUUUUAUAUUAUUUUAUUUUUUGCCAACUGGGCUAUUGUUGGGGCUCCAUACAAUUACUAUGAAUUCAUGGCUCCUGACAGCCAUUUUCUAUUUUUUUUCUUGAAUCUUCACUUUUAUUUGGUGGGACAAAGAGAAAUUGAGAGGGAAGGGAGGAUGGAGCGGGAGAGAAAUAUAGACACCUGCAGACUUGCAUCACUGCUCAGGAAGCAUUCCCCCUGCAGGUGGGGGACAGGGGCUUGAA